rnacentral:rRNA from 1 species
GUGAGGAAUUUUGCGCAAUGGGGGCAACCCUGACGCAGCGACGCCGCGUGGAGGACGAAGUCUUUCGGGAUGUAAACUCCUGUCAGUGGGGACGAUAAUGACGGUACCCACAGAGGAAGCACCGGCUAACUCCGUGCCAGCAGCCGCGGUAAGACGGAGGGUGCAAGCGUUGUUCGGAAUUACUGGGCGUAAAGCGUAUGUAGGCGGCAAGUUAAGUUCAAUGUUAAAGCCCACGGCUCAACCGAGGAGAUGCAUUGAAUACUGGCUAGCUAGAGGGUGUUAGAGGAAGACGGAAUUCCCAGUGUAGCGGUGAAAUGCGUAGAUAUUGGGAGGAACAUCGGUAGCGAAAGCGGUCUUCUGGGACAUACCUGACGCUGAGGUACGAAAGCGUGGGGAGCGAACGGGAUUAGAAACCCCGGUAGUCC